GUUUUAAUAAUUUAAUAAUAAAAAUAUUGGUCUUGUAAAUCAAAAAUAAACAAUUGUUUUUAAAACA
rnacentral:tRNA from 1 species